UUGCGUAGGCCUUUGCUUCGA
rnacentral:miRNA from 2 species